UCUCAAAGAUUAAGCCAUGCAUGUCUAAGUACAAGCCUCCACAAGGUGAAACCGCGAAUGGCUCAUUAAAUCAGUUAUGGUUCCUUAGAUCGUCUUAUCCUACUUGGAUAACUGUAGUAAUUCUAGAGCUAAUACAUGCAAUCAAGCUCCGACCUCUAGGGGGAAGGGCGCUUUUAUUAGACCAAAACCAAUCGGCCAGGGGGCGACUCCUGGUCGAGCCGUUCUUGGUGACUCUGGAUAACCUGCAGCUGAUCGCACGGCCUUGCGCCUGCGACGUAUCUUUCAAAUGUCUGCCCUAUCAGGUCUCGACGGUUGGUGAUAUGCCAACCGUGCUUUUGACGGGUAGCGGGGAAUCAGGGUUCGAUUCCGGAGAGGGAGCAUGAGAAACGGCUACCACAUCCAAGGAAGGCAGCAGGCGCGCAAAUUACCCACUCCUGGCUCGGGGAGGUAGUGACGAAAAAUAACAAUACGGGACUCUAUUGAGGCCUCGUAAUUGGAAUGAGUACACUUUAAAUCCUUUAACAAGGAUCCAUUGGAGGGCAAGUCUGGUGCCAGCAGCCGCGGUAAUUCCAGCUCCAAUAGCGUAUAUUAAAGUUGUUGCAGUUAAAAAGCUCGUAGUUGGAUCAUACGGGUCUGGCUGGCGGUCCACGUCGCGAGGCGCUAUCGCCAUGUCCAGGCCCAGCCUCGUCGGUCAGUCCAUCGGUGCUCUUCGCUGAGUGCCAUGGCCGGCCGUCACGUUUACUUUGAAAAAAUUAGGGUGUUCAAAGCAGGCGCCUGCCUGUAUAUCUGCGCAUGGAAUAAUUGAAUAGGACCUCGGUUCUGUUUUGUUGGUUUCUGGAGUUCGAGGUAAUGAUCAAUAGGGACUGCCGGGGGCAUCUGUAUUGCAGCGGGAGAGGUGAAAUUCAUUGAUCGUUGCAAGACAAACAAGUGCGAAGGCAUUUGCCAAGAAUGUCUUCAUUAAUCAAGAGCGAAAGUCAGAGGUUCGAAGACGAUCAGAUACCGUCGUAGUUCUGACCAUAAAUGAUGCCAGCUAUGGCUUUGCCGGCGUAGUCUUCAUUGACUCGGCGAGGCCCCCCCCGGAAACGCAUAAGCUUAUGGGUUCCGGGGGAAGUAUGGUUGCAAAACUGAAACUUAAAGGAAUUGACGGAAGGGCACCACCAGGAGUGGAGCCUGCGGCUUAAUUUGACUCAACACGGGGAAACUCACCCGGCCCGGACACCGUUAGGAUUGACAGAUUGAGAGCUCUUUCUUGAUUCGGUGGGUGGUGGUGCAUGGCCGUUCUUAGUUGGUGGAGCGAUUUGUCUGGUUAAUUCCGAUAACGAACGAGACUCUAGCCUAUUAACUAGUUCGUCGAUACUGUAGCGUCGACGCAACUUCUUAGAGGGACUGGUGGCGUUUAGCCACACGAGAAUGAGCAAUAACAGGUCUGUGAUGCCCUUAGAUGUCCGGGGCCGCACGCGCGCUACACUGAAGGACUCAGCGAGUAUCCUGGCCAGAAAUGGUCGGGCAACCCAUUGAACCUCCUUCGUGCUAGGGAUUGGGGUUUGCAAUUCUCCCCCAUGAACGAGGAAUUCCCAGUAAGCGCGAGUCAUCAGCUCGCGUUGAUUACGUCCCUGCCCUUUGUACACACCGCCCGUCGCUACUACCGAUUGGAUGGCUUAGUGAGACCCUUGGACUGGUGCUCGAGGAGGCUGGAAACAGCCGAGCCCUGCAUGCCGGGAAGAAGGUCAAACUUGGCCAUCUAGAGGAAGUAAAAGUCGUAACA
rnacentral:rRNA from 1 species